UACGUAGGGGGCAAGCGUUGUCCGGAUUUAUUGGGCGUAAAGAGCGUGUAGGCGGCCAGGUAGGUCCGUUGUGAAAACUCGAGGCUCAACCUCGAGACGUCGGUUGAAACCACCUGGCUAGAGUCCGGAAGAGGAGAGUGGAAUUCCUGGUGUAGCGGUGAAAUGCGUAGAUAUCGAGAGGAACACCUGCGGCGAAGGCGGGUUGCUGGGCUGACACUGACGCUGAUGCGCGAAAGCCAGGGGAGCGAACGGG
rnacentral:rRNA from 1 species